rnacentral:rRNA from 1 species
UACGUAGGGUGCAAGCGUUGUCCGGAAUUAUUGGGCGUAAAGAGCUCGUAGGCGGUCUGUCGCGUCGGAUGUGAAAAUCCAGGGCUCAACCCUGGACCUGCAUUCGAUACGGGCAGACUAGAGUUCGGCAGGGGAGACUGGAAUUCCUGGUGUAGCGGUGAAAUGCGCAGAUAUCAGGAGGAACACCAACGGCGAAGGCAGCUCGCUGGGACGGUACUGACACUGAGGCGCGAAAGCGUGGGGAGCGAACAGGG